GCUGCAUGGCUGAGAAGUGUCCUGUGUCCUGAGAGAACAACAGCUCACCCCAAGGCCAAGGGUGUAUUUCCUUGUGACAUAAAACCCAGCAGAGCCCAGUCUGCCCUGUGAUCUCAAUGCUCAGAGAAGGACUCUUGACCUUCCUGGGUGGUCUCAGAAGACCAUCAGAAGAGCUGGCUGGCUGCCUUUCAUACUUCUCCACCUAUGCUGAGCACACUGAGUCUCAGGAAGAGAUACCCAGUGAGCUUCUGUACCAGGAUCAUUGCAGGAGAGUCUUGCCAUGGCCUCAACAACUUCACUGGUAUCCAGAUUGCUGGCCUAGGUCUUAAACUUUCAGAGGUCAAAUUUAAAAUAUUACUACAAUUAACACAGGGUUUUUCCAUGUAGUUUUGGUGCCUGUCCUGGAUCUCGUCUGUAGACCCGGCUGGCCUCUAACUCACAGAGAUCUGCCUGGCUCUGCCUCCUGAGUGCUGGACUUAAAAGAGUGUGCCACCACUGCCCAGCUGCAAUCACAUUACUUAAUAAGCUAGCAACCCAAUUUGUUUUAGUUGUUACAUUUCUAUAGAAUUUAACCAGGAAUUUCUAGAAAGCAACUUAAAGAGCAGAGCCACAUUCUCAGUAAUGAACCACAGACAAGAGCAUAACCAAUAUAUAGUUUAAAAUUAUGAAUCCUGUUCCUUUAUUUUAUCUACCAUGAAAAUCAAACAUUCAUCCAAACAUUUGCAGACAAUCAAAAAAAGAGAACAUCCUCUAUACACUGAAUGAUUAAUAUCUCUGGAAAUUUAAACAGCAUUGACUUAGCAUUCGAAGUCCUGACCGCAACUGUUCUUUACCAGAAGUUGGGCCCAUUUAAACUUCCUCUUUCUCACAUAAGAGACUAUUAAUAAUGAGUUAUUUCAACCACUAGGGAAAAACAGAAAACAUUUCCCACAAAGGGAUCUUUAAUAUCGAGUUAUUCCUGCUCUGAGGGAAAAAUAAAAAACAUUCAUAACAAGGUUAAGCAAACAGACAACAAAAUUCUAAGCUCUGGGUUUGCUUGCUUGUUCAGCCAGCAGCAGUGAGGCCCACCUGCUGAUUCUUUGUAAUUCAGAUACGGACAUUCUGUGCUGGCAGGUAGAAAGAACUCAGAGUUUUAGCAAUCCUGAGAUUUUUAUAUUGGAAAGAAUCUUUUCUUCCUCUAUCACUACUGGGUGUUGUGCCCAGAUCUCGACCCCCAGAGAGACCACUGAAGAUGAGCGUGCCAGAACGCAAGAGCAAGGCUUUAUUCAGGAGCAAAUACAAGCGUAGGCAGGGACCUCAUCAAGCACAUCUGAUGCAGUGGAGGCUGGAGGAGGUGCUCAGCCUGAAUGGAGCACAGCUUUUAAAGGCAAAACCCACAACAUUACAAUAACAGGGGACAUGCAGAAGAACAUUCUGCCCUUCAGCAACUUGGGGCAGAACUGCUUCAACAGUGACUUUUGUAGUGAUGAGAGAGACUAAGGGGGAAGAAAGAACAUGCAUGUUUGGUACCUGAGGCUUUGGUAACUAUCACGCCUACAAGGCGGGGCCAAGGGAGGACCCUGAAGACCCGAGAUCCAGAUGGACCAGCUCUCUCUGUUCUUGGACCCUGGAUGGUGGAGGUUCACCAAGCAGAGCCCCAGAGAACACCGAUGGACUGCGAUACACCUUCCCCAGACCCUGCGACCUACCUAUCCCUUCAAUUGUA